GAUGAACGCUGGCGGCGUGCCUAAUACAUGCAAGUCGAGCGAACGGACGAGAAGCUUGCUUUUCUGAUGUUAGCGGCGGACGGGUGAGUAACACGUGGAUAACCUACCUAUAAGACUGGGAUAACUUCGGGAAACCGGAGCUAAUACCGGAUAAUAUUUUGAACCGCAUGGUUCAAAAGUGAAAGACGGUCUUGCUGUCACUUAUAGAUGGAUCCGCGCUGCAUUAGCUAGUUGGUAAGGUAACGGCUUACCAAGGCAACGAUGCAUAGCCGACCUGAGAGGGUGAUCGGCCACACUGGAACUGAGACACGGUCCAGACUCCUACGGGAGGCAGCAGUAGGGAAUCUUCCGCAAUGGGCGAAAGCCUGACGGAGCAACGCCGCGUGAGUGAUGAAGGUCUUCGGAUUGUAAAACUCUGUUAUUAGGGAAGAACAUAUGUGUAAGUAACUGUGCACAUCUUGACGGUACCAAAUCAGAAAGCCACGGCUAACUACGUG
rnacentral:rRNA from 1 species